GAUGAAGAACGUAGCGAAAUGCGAUAAGUAAUGUGAAUUGCAGAAUUCAGUGAAUCAUCGAAUCUUUGAACGCACGUUGCGCCCCCUGGUAUUCCGGGGGGCAUGCCUGUUCGAGCGUCAUUACAACCCUCAAGCUCUGCUUGGUGUUGGGCCCCGCCGCCCCGGCGGGCCCUAAAGUCAGUGGCGGUGCCAUCCGGCUCCGAGCGUAGUAAUUCUUCUCGCUCUGGAGGCCCGGGUGUGUGCUCGCCAGCAACCCCCAAUUUUUUUCAGGUUGACCUCGGAUCAGGUAGGGAUACCCGCUGAACUUAAGCAUAUCAAUAGGCGGAGGA
rnacentral:misc_RNA from 1 species